UACGUAGGGCGCAAGCGUUGUCCGGAAUUAUUGGGCGUAAAGAGCUCGUAGGCGGCUUGUCACGUCGGGUGUGAAAUCCCCGGGCUCAACCCGGGAACUGCGUCCGAUACUGGAAGGCUUGAAUCCGGGAGAGGGAUGCGGAAUUCCAGGUGUAGCGGUGAAAUGCGUAGAUAUCGGAAGGAACAUCAGUGGCGAAAACGGCUUCCUGGACCAGUACCGACGUUCAGGCACGAAAGCGUGGGGAGCAAACAGG
rnacentral:rRNA from 1 species